rnacentral:tRNA from 1 species
GUCUUCAUGGUGUAGUGGUCAGUACACUCGACGCGUAUUCGAGAGGUUCGUGGUUCGAGUCCCGCCGAAGGUG